GAAAAAGAAGAGCAGCUUUUGCUGUAAACAGUUAUUUUACACCUCUCAUUCAGAGCAAAACCCUUUAUUUUCAAAGCAAAGGGGGUGCGCAGGCGGGAGAGCUGCCCUGCCUUUCAGGGGGAAGCACGACAUCUGUGCUCGGGAUUGUAUGGACCAAACAGGCAAAUGCAAAUGAGCACAGAGCAUUAAAGGAAGCUUUUUGCAAAUUCCUGCUUUACUUCUGCAUUGCGCACUGCCAGGUUUCACUGAAAAGGGGAUUCUCCUUAGUAAACAAAGCCUCCCUUUUUUCCCGAGCUUUCCAAAAAAAGGGAAGAGAAAGGGGUCGGUGCUGCUUGGAGUUUUCUUUUUUGCUAUUUGUCUACAUUUCACACCCUGUAGAAAGAAAACAACUUUUAACAUCUGUUCCUGCACUUUUUAAGAUGGAAAGAAAGGCUCUUGAAAAUGGGGAAAGUGUGGCAGAUGUUGGCGGAUUCCCUCCAACGCAGAUGUCUUGCUCUGAAAAAAGUUUCUUUAGGAAUUUGUGGCCCCGGCUCCUCUUUGACUCGGGACACGCGACUGCCUAGCGAAUGAAGGGACGUGGGAAAGCUCUAUAGGACAAAAGAGCUUAUUCAAACAAACCUGAGAGCCGUGAACAAUCUAAUAACCAGCAGAGAAAUGGUCAGCGGCCUCCAGCCCUGCCAGGGAGGGGUGGUAGCUCUUGCCUGGUGCUGGCGGGGCUGGGGGCAGCUGAUGGCCGCCGGAAGGGGCCUCCUGCCUUCGGUGCCUCUAAUUGCAAGGCAGAUUUCCCCUCACAGCCGCCGCGUGAAGCUAUGUGCAGCUGCAGGGGUGGUGCCACCAAGGUCUCUUCCCAUCGGGUGUCAUCCGUGUCCCGCAGAUGACCUGCUGUUGCUCCUCGUACUGCGUGUGCUGAGGCCUCGCUCCGAAGGAAGCUGUUCCUGGGCAGGAGGACAUCACGCAGACCUGGAGCAGCCCGUACUGAAGAGGGGCCGGUGUGAGAGCGCUGUAAAUCACAAGCACUCUGUACUGAAUUCCCGUGUUGCCCAAGGGCGGUUUGCUCCUGGAGCAUUACAGCGAGAGAAGACUGUGAGGAGGAGCAGUGCAUGCCAGUGGGGAGGCUGGGCCGGCGGGGCAGGAGGUGCAGGUGCGGCAGGGUCUGUGUGGGGACCGUGUGUCCAGCAACCCGCCCAGGCCAGGACAGCACUGCAAACAAGCUAG
rnacentral:lncRNA from 1 species